rnacentral:rRNA from 1 species
CUCUGGUUUCUUAAAGGGGUCAUAUUAACUAGGGAUAAUUUGGCACGGCGUAACUGGCAAGGGAGCAAAAAAUGUGUCUUCUGUCAGCACGACGAGUCUACUAAACACUUAAUUUUUGAGUGCAAGUUUGCUUGAUCUGUGUGGGCUGUUGUUCAAAUAGCUUCAAAUCUUUACCCACCACGUAGUGCACAGAAUAUAUUCGGCAAUUGGUUGAGGGGUAUUCAAAAACAAUUUUCUACACACAUUCUAGUGGGGGCAGCUGCCUUAUGUUGGGCACUGUGGCUUAAUAGGAAUGAUGUAGUGUUUAACAAUAAAAGUGUUUCAUCUCCUAUGCAGGUUAUCCAUACAUGCUCACGAUGGCUCCAUACUUGGUUUAUCCUGCAGAGGCCGGAGGACAAGGACAUUUUUAUGAUGGUGUCUACACGGCUGGAGCGUACGGCCAGGGAGGGUUCUUACCCCCAUGGAUGGCGGUGUGAUCUUCGGAUAGGAUCCGCCACAUCCUAG